AAGUCGUAACAAGGUUUCCGUAGGUGAACCUGCGGAAGGAUCAUUAAAGAAUUCGGCUUCGCGGCCAAGUUCUCACCCUUUGUAUACCGAAACUAUGUUGCUUUGGCAGCCUCUGCAUUUCCGGCCUGCAGGCUGCAUAAGUCAACCUAACGAAAUCUCUGCUGUCUGAGUACUAUGCAAUAGUUAAAA
rnacentral:misc_RNA from 1 species